rnacentral:rRNA from 1 species
GACGAACGCUGGCGGCGUGCUUAACACAUGCAAGUCGAACGAAGUGGCGAACGGGUGAGUAACGCGUAAUCAACCUGCCCUUCAGAGGGGGACAACAGUGGGAAACGACUGCUAAUACCGCAUACGGCAGGAGGGGAGUGCGGCUGAUUAGCUCGGUGGAGGGGUAACGGCCCACAAAGGCGAUGAUCAGUAGCCGGUCUUGGAGGAGUGACGGCCACAUUGUGACUGAGACACGGCCCAGACUCCUACGGGAGGCAGCAGUGGGGAAUCUUCCGCAAUUGACGAAAGUCUGACGGAGCAACGCCGCGUGAGUGAUGACGGCCUUCGGGUUGUAAAGCUCUUUUAAUCGGGACGCGGUACCGGAAUAGAAAGCCACGGCUAACUACGUGCCAGCAGCCGCGGUAAUAC